UCCGGCUUGCCACCGGCAGUUCCACUAGAGUGCCCAGCUUAACCUGAUGGCAACUAGUAGCGAGGGUUGCGCUCGUUGCGGGACUUAACCCAACAUCUCACGACACGAGCUGACGACAGCCAUGCAGCACCUGUGCAUGCUGGUAUUGCUACCCCGUCCCCCUUUCAGGGUCCUACUACAUGCAUGUCAAGGCCAGGUAAGGUUCUUCGCGUUGCAUCGAAUUAAGCCACAUACUCCACCGCUUGUGCAGGCCCCCGUCAAUUCCUUUGAGUUUUAGCCUUGCGGCCGUACUCCCCAGGCGGGGUGCUUAAUGCGUUAGCUUCGGCACGGACGGGGUUGAUAUCCGCCCACACCUAGCACCCAACGUUUACGGCUAGGACUACC
rnacentral:misc_RNA from 1 species